AGCAAAUGAUCUUCUGCUAAGUGCGCGAACGUCCUGUUCGCAACGCAGAAGUCAGCACCUCCUGUGCA
rnacentral:sRNA from 1 species